AUUGAACGCUGGCGGCAUGCUUUACACAUGCAAGUCGAACGGCAGCGGGGAGGAGCUUGCUUCUCUGCCGGCGAGUGGCGAACGGGUGAGUAAUACAUCGGAACGUGUCGAGAAGAGGGGGAUAACCACCCGAAAGGGUGGCUAAUACCGCAUAAAUUCUGAGGAAGAAAGCUGGGGACCUAGGAAUAGGCCUAGCGCUUUUUGAGCGGCCGAUGUCGGAUUAGCUAGUUGGUGAGGUAAAGGCUCACCAAGGCGAAGAUCUGUAGCGGGUCUGAGAGGAUGAUCCGCCACACUGGGACUGAGACACGGCCCAGACUCCUACGGGAGGCAGCAGUGGGGAAUUUUGGACAAAGGGGGCAACCCUGAUCCAGCCAUGCCGCGUGUAUGAAGAAGGCCUUAGGGUUGUAAAGUACUUUUGUUAGGGAAGAAAAGUCAGCAGUGAAUAAUGGCUGAUACUGACGGUACCUAAAGAAUAAGCACCGGCUAACUACGUG
rnacentral:rRNA from 1 species